rnacentral:rRNA from 1 species
CCUACGGGAGGCUGCAGUGGGGGAUAUUGGACAAUGGGGGAAACCCUGAUCCAGCGACGCCGCGUGAGUGAAGAAGUAUUUCGGUAUGUAAAGCUCUAACAGCAGGGAAGAAAGAAAUGACGGUACCUGAGUAAUACGCCCCGUCUACCUACGUGCCAGCAGCCGCCGUAAUACGGAGGGGGCAAGCGUUAUCCGGAAUUACUGGGUGUAAAGGGAGCGUAGACGGUAAUGCAAGUCUGGAGUGAAAGGCGGGGGCCCACCCCCAGGACUGCUCUGGAAACUGGGGAACUGGAGUGCAGGAGAGGCAGGCGGAAUUCCUAGUGUAGCGGUGAAAUGCGUAGAUAUUAGGAGGAACACCAGAGGCGAAGGCGGCCUGCUGGACUGUAACUGACGUUGCGGCUCGAAAGCGUGGGGAGCAAACAGGAGUAGAUACCCUAGUAGUC